AUUGAACGCUGGCGACAGGCUUAACACAUGCAAGUCGAGGGGCAGCAUAGAAGUAGCAAUACUUUGGUGGCGACCGGCGCACGGGUGAGUAACGCGUAUGCAACCUACCUAUCAGAGGGGAAUAACCCGGCGAAAGUCGGACUAAUACCGCAUAAAACAGGGGCACCGCAUGGUGAUAUUUGUUAAAGAAAUUCGCUGAUAGAUGGGCAUGCGUUCCAUUAGGUAGUUGGUGAGGUAACGGCUCACCAAGCCGACGAUGGAUAGGGGAACUGAGAGGUUGGUCCCCCACACUGGUACUGAGACACGGACCAGACUCCUACGGGAGGCAGCAGUGAGGAAUAUUGGUCAAUGGGCGGGAGCCUGAACCAGCCAAGUCGCGUGAAGGAAGAAGGAUCUAUGGUUCGUAAACUUCUUUUGCAGGGGAAUAAAGUGCAGGACGUGUCCUGUUUUGUAUGUACCCUGAGAAUAAGGAUCGGCUAACUCCGUGCCAGCCGCCGCGGUAAAAC
rnacentral:rRNA from 1 species